GAGGGUAUAGCUCAGUGGUAGAGUGCAUGGCUGAGCAUGCAUGAGGUCCUGGGUUCAAUCCACGGUACCUCCA
rnacentral:tRNA from 1 species